GACGAACGCUGGCGGCGUGCCUAAUACAUGCAAGUAGAACGCUGAAGGAGGAGCUUGCUCUUCUGGAUGAGUUGCGAACGGGUGAGUAACGCGUAGGUAGCCUGCCUGGUAGCGGGGGAUAACUAUUGGAAACGAUAGCUAAUACCGCAUAAGAGUAGAUGUUGCAUGACAUUUACUUAAAAGGUGCAAUUGCAUCACUACCAGAUGGACCUGCGUUGUAUUAGCUAGUUGGUGGGGUGACGGCUUACCAAGGCGACGAUACAUAGCCGACCUGAGAGGGUGAUCGGCCACACUGGGACUGAGACACGGCCCAGACUCCUACGGGAGGCAGCAGUAGGGAAUCUUCGGCAAUGGACGGAAGUCUGACCGAGCAACGCCGCGGGAGUGAAGAAGGUUUUCGGAUCGUAAAGCUCUGUUGUAAGAGAAGAACGAGUGUGAGAGUGGAAAGUUCACACUGUGACGGUAUCUUACCAGAAAGGGACGGCUAACUACGUG
rnacentral:rRNA from 1 species